AUGAACGAUUGGAGCUACGUCGAAGGGUAUAUCAGAUGGUUCUUCAGGCUGUCACAUCUGUACAUGGUGCAUGUUGCUCUAGGAGAUCCACCUAUGUCAACUCAUCAGGAGAUACUAGAGGAGGAGCAGACACAAUUAGAUCAUGUUGAUAAUGUCUUUCCUAGAUGUCGUCACAUUAUGGAGAUUGUGUAGACAUGCAUUGACAGAUGUAUCUUUCCUGAUGGGUCUGAUGUGAGGCAAGUCCUAGAUGCCAUCAUCACGGAGGCACGAGAAGCAUUGAUGUAUCAGAGAUAGCGUCGGAGGACGGGGGAGAUUGAUGGCUGAUGAGGUAGAGGAGACAUAGGAGGUAGAUGAGAGGUUGUCAGACAUACACAUUAUUAUAUUAGUAUAUAGCAGUAGUACUAUAAUCUGUAUUUUAUUAUUUUAUUUUGACAUCAU
rnacentral:lncRNA from 1 species